GACGAACCGAGCGAACGUUGUUCGGAAUCACUGGGCUUAAAGGGCGCGUAGGCGGGUGCUCAAGUCCGUGGUGAAAUCCUCCGGCUCAACCGGAGAACUGCCUCGGAUACUGGGUGCCUCGAGGGUGGUAGGGGUAUGCGGAACUAUCGGUGGAGCGGUGAAAUGCGUAGAGAUCGGGAGGAACACCAGCGACGAAGGUGGCUCCCUGGACCGUUACCGACGCUGAGGCACGAAAGCUAGGGGGAGCAAACAGG
rnacentral:rRNA from 1 species